CCUACGGGAGGCAGCAGUUAGGAAUCUUCCACAAUGGGCGAAAGCCUGAUGGAGCGACGCCGCGUGAGGGAUGAAGGUUUUCGGAUCGUAAACCUCUGAAUCAGGGACGAAAGACGCUUUAUGCGGGAUGACGGUACCUGAGUAAUAGCACCGGCUAACUCCGUGCCAGCAGCCGCGGUAAUACGGAGGGUGCAAGCGUUACCCGGAAUCACUGGGCGUAAAGGGCGUGUAGGCGGGAUGUUAAGUCUGGCUUUAAAGACCGGGGCUCAACCUCGGGAGUGGGCUGGAUACUGGCAUUCUUGACCUCUGGAGAGGUACUCGGAAUUUCUGGUGUAGCGGUGGAAUGCGUAGAUACCAGAAGGAACACCGAUGGCGAAGGCAGAGUACUGGACAGAAGGUGACGCUGAGGCGCGAAAGUGUGGGGAGCGAACCGGGAUUAGAUACCCGGGGUAGUCCACACCCUAAACGAUGUACGUUGGAUGACGGCAGGAUGCUGUCGUUGUCGAAGUUAACGCGAUAAACGUACCGCCUGGGAAGUACGGCCGCAGGUUGAAACGUCAAAUGAAUUGAACCGGUNUGNGAGUGCGAGCGACGACGAGGAGAGG
rnacentral:rRNA from 1 species